AGACUCUGUGCGCGUGCAUAUCAAUAAGCGGAGGAAAAGAAACUAACAAGGAUUCCCUUAGUAACGGCGAGUGAAGCGGGAAGAGCUCAAAUUUGAAAUCUUCAAGGUUCUACCUUGACGAAUUGUAGUUUAUAGAAGUGUUUUCUGUUAGUGGAGUGGCAAAAGUUCUUUGGAAUAGGACAUCAUAGAGGGUGAGAAUCCCGUAUUUGUCAGUUCCUCCUAGCUGUUGUGAUACACUUUCAACGAGUCGGAUUGUUUGGGAAUGCAGUCCAAAAUGGGUGGUAAAUUUCAUCUAAAGCUAAAUAUUGGCGAGAGACCGAUAGCGAACAAGUACCGUGAGGGAAAGAUGAAAAGAACUUUGAAAAGAGAGUUAAACAGUACGUGAAAUUGUCAAAAGGGAAGCGUUUGACACCAGUGUUGUUUUUUCCGAAAAUCAAUUACGAAUGUUUUAGUUUUUGAGGAGUUAUGACUUCAUCGGCUUGCUCCUUUCUUUAUGAAACUUUCUUAAUGCACUUUUCGGUUAACAAGUCAACAUCAAUUUCUUUUGUUGUAAAAGGGUAUGAGGAAGGUGGCUUUCUUUUCGGAGAAAGUGUUUAUAGCCUUGUGCCUCUGCAAUCGGAGAGAUUGAGGUCUGCAGCGUAGAUCCUUCGGGGUUAGAUACGUUUGUGCUAAGUUAUAGCUUUUCAUAGACAACUUGUUGACUAUGUUUAGUCUUGUAGCUUACUCGCUGACGCUAUUUUACCUACGCUUAGGAUGUUGACAGCAGUAUAGACUGU
rnacentral:rRNA from 1 species